rnacentral:rRNA from 1 species
AAUGCUAGGAUGCGAUGGGGAAGCCCUUCGGGGCGAAGUAGCUGAUUUCACACUGUCAAGAAAAGCUUCUAUCGAGUUUAAAGGCGCCCGUACCGUAAACCGACACAGGUGGGUGAGGAGAGUAUCCUAAGGCCAGCGAGAGAACUAUUGUUAAGGAACUCGGCAAAAUGACCCCGUAACUUAGGGAGAAGGGGUGCCUGUCUAUGACAGGCCGCAGAGAAUAGGCCCAAGCGACUGUUUACCAAAAACACAGGUUUCUGCUAAGUCGCAAGACGAUGUAUAGGAGCUGACGCCUGCCCGGUGCUGGAAGGUUAAGGGGAUCUGUUAGAGCAAUCGAAGCAGUGAACUUAAGCCCCAGUAAACGGCGGCCGUAACAAUAACGGUCCUAAGGUAGCGAAAUUCCUUGUCGGGUAAGUUCCGACCCGCACGAAAGGCGUAACGAUUUGGGCACUGUCUCAACAAUAGACUCGGUGAAAUUGUAAUCCCGGUGAAGAUGCCGGGUACCUGCGACAGGACGGAAAGACCCCAUGGAGCUUUACUGUAGCUUGACGUUGGGUCUUGGUACUACAUGUACAGGAUAGGUGGGAGACUAUGAAGCAUGGACGCCAGUCUGUGUGGAGUCAUCCUUGGGAUACCACCCUUGUAGUACUGGGAUCCUAACCAUAGGCCUUGAAUCAGGUCUUGGAACACCGUCAGGUGGGCAGUUUGACUGGGGCGGUCGCCUCCUAAAAAGUAACGGAGGCGCUCAAAGGUUUCCUCAGCACGGUCGGAAAUCGUGCGAAGAGUGUAAAGGCAAAAGGAAGCUUGAUUGCAAGACAUACAGGUCGAGCAAGGACGAAAGUCGGACUUAGUGAUCCGGUGGUACCGCAUGGAAGGGCCAUCGCUCAACGGAUAAAAGCUACCCUGGGGAUAACAGGCUUAUCUCCCCCAAGAGUCCACAUCGACGGGGAGGUUUGGCACCUCGAUGUCGGCUCAUCACAUCCUGGGGCUGUAGUAGGUCCCAAGGGUUGGGCUGUUCGCCCAUUAAAGUGGUACGCGAGCUGGGUUCAGAACGUCGUGAGACAGUUCGGUCCCUAUCCGUCGCAGGCGUAGGAAAUUUGAGAAGACCUGUCCUUAGUACGAGAGGACCGGGAUGGACGUACCUCUGGUGUACCAGUUGUUCUGCCAAGGGCAUGGCUGGGUAGCUAUGUACGGAAUGGAUAAGCGCUGAAAGCAUCUAAGCGCGAAGCCAACUUCAAGAUAAGAUUUCCCACCGUAAGGGUAAGACCCCAGGAAGACUACCUGGUUGAUAGGUCGAAGGUGUAAGUGCAGUAAUGUAUUUAGCUUAUUGAUACUAAUAGGUCGAGGACUUGACCU